ensembl:lncRNA
CAAGAAUAUACUACCUUUUCAUAAAACAGAAAUUUUUCUAAUAAUUUGAAAAAAAAAAUCAUCCAGCGAAGAGUUUUAAAAGGACUCAAAAGGCUUAUAGUGCCUUAUUGUAAAGACAGAAAUGGAUGUGACAGGAACACUUUAUAGCUUUUGCUUGUCAUUUGUUUUUUAUAGACAUGACGCAUUUAGUCUUUCAAUUGUUCCUACCUCCCAGCUUUCUUUCAGCAUGAAAGCUCUUGCAUCCUACCAGGAAAUAGUGCACCCCAGUCACUUCUAUUUUUAAACAGAGUCUGCAAAGUUGAUAUUACUAUAGUUUAAUGUCUUAGGCAAAAGCUGGAAAUAGAAAUAAUUCAACACCAUAUCUUUACUAAGUCCCAUAUUAAAUAAAUAUAAUUUAUCAUAAGCAUUUGCUUUCCAGUCACAGGAAAACAGCCUGCAAAGAAAAUUGAGUGUGAGGAACAGUGUGCACCCACACAUGUUUGUAAUUAAACCUUUGGAGAAUGGCGACUUUUUUCAUACGACUUUAAAAAUUAGUAAGGUCCAUGACAGUGUCAGUCCAAGGAAAGUACUUCUUUCAGCAUAGCAACCUAGUCCAGUAUCAGCUCUUGCUGAGGUCUCUCUGUGUUAUAGAUGCUGAAGAGAAAAGCAGAGAAACAAAAAAUGAAUCAGUUUGGAUAAGGAAAAUACAAUAAAAUUUAUUAUUUGGCAUCAUGAAUACAUUUCUCAAAGAGAAAAUAAAAGGCAGUCAUGUUUGAUUUAAAAAAAAAUAACAUGGAAUUCCUCCAAAUAGGAAAGGGAAGCCACUGUCAGCAUCAGCCCAGUGUCCUCUAGCUAUGGUCUACUGUCUUGACAGAACAAACAGCAACAUAAGCAAUAUGAAGUCAAUGUUGUUUUUCAUAAUCAGAGUUCUGUCUUUCCCCAUUUCCAAUCCUAAAUCAAAUAUUAAAAAUUGGCUAUACCCCUGUGGUUUACUUCAGUAUAUAACCGUAUCUCUUUUUUUAUGUGCAUUAUCAUUCAUAUACGUCUGUCUUGUUUUACAGAUGAAGGGAUGGUUGAUAUUAAUGAGGUCAUGAAUAAAGGGAGCCUUUUUACAGGUGGGUCACUAAUCAUUCCUGGGCAUCUGUUAAGGAUCCUAAGUAUAGAUCUGUACAAAUCAACCAUCCAGGUGCUUCAAGUAGUUGAAUCUUCUGCAGUUGAUGGAAAAUAUGUAUAAAAAUGCAAUAAUCUCAUAGGUGUUAUUUUAAAAGCCUCAUAAAUAGAAAAGGAUCUGCUGGCCAGUGAUGGUGCAUAUCUUUAAUCCCUGUGGACCUCUGUGAGCUCAAGGCCAGCCUGGACUAGGGAGUGAGUUGCAGGAUAGGCAGGGCAAUGCAGAGAAACCUUGUCUCUGCAUAGCCCUGCCUCAAAAAAAAAAAAACAGAAAGAAAGAAAGAAAGAAAGAAAGAAAGAAAGAAAGAAAGAAAGAAAGAAGGAAGGAAGGAAGGAAGGAAGGAAGGAAGGAAAGAAGGAUCUAAGGAUUUCUCAAGGGAAAGAGCACAGGAAUUGAUCCUUAAAAAGUACAUCAGUGUUUUCUAGACACAGUAGGGUGGGCGUCUCUGACAGAGGAAGAAGUACAAAAGUUAAGAUAAGUAAUUUGUUGUGGGAUAUUUGAUCACACUCUGUGAAAGGUGCCUCCUUAGUGGUUUAAUAAAGACCUGAAUGACUGACCAGUAGCUAGGCAGGAGAGGUUAGGCAGGACUUCCAGAGAGAGAAAGGAAGUCGGGGUUAGAAUCUAGGUGCAGAGGAGAUGCCAUCAAGAUGGAGCAAGUCAGACAGACACACAGAAUGGAGGAGAAGUAAAAAAGCCACAUGGCAGAGCAUAGAUUAAUAGAAAUGGGUUAGUUUGAGUUAUAAGAGCUAGUUGGGAACAAGUCGAAGCUAAAGGCCAAGCUUUCAUAAUGAAUAAUAAAUCUCCAUGUCAUUAUUUAGGAGCUGGCAGCUGAAAAGAAAGUCCAACUACAGAAAUUGAAUCAAUUUAGCAUAAACCAUAGACUAGGGCAUGUUGGAAGGUUGGUGUCAUGUUAAAAGCAGUUAGCAGGCAAGAAAGUGGUUUCACUGUGGCUGUAAUCCCCAGAGCUGCUGACAGGCAAGCUUUAGAGACCCCCGUGGUCCAACUUCACAGGAAAGGUCUUGAAAGUUCUUGAGGAAAACAGGCCUUGUACCUCUUUCCUCCAGUCAUUUGUGCAUAUGAGCCCCCAAUCCCCUAGGCAUUCCUUUCCAAACAGAAACUUUACAUGUGGACUCCAGGGGACUGAAAAUAGGAGUUUGCUUAUGCUGCCUGGCAUUAGGUUUUUCUGUCUAGACCAGAUCAUAGAGUUAGAAAAGAACCAACACGAGAGAAAUUUCCACACAGCCAUGGAGAAGAUUGGAAGGGGGAAAGGAUAUGUGGGAAUCUAGAACAAGUGUGCUACCAAGCAGACUUUUCUACUUGUUUCUUACCCGUGUUUGUGAAAUAGUUUGUGAUCCUGCAUGUUUCCCUACAGCACUUUACAUUAUAUACUCGAAAAAUAUUUUUAAGAGCCUGGUGGUGGUGGUGGUGCACACCUUUAAUCUCAGCACUCGGGAGGCAGAGGCAGGUAGAUCUCUGUGAGUUUGAAGCCAGCCUGGUCUACAGAGUGAGUUCCGGGACAGUCAGGACUACACACACAAACCUUGUCUCUAAGGAAAAAAAAUUUCUCUAAACUAGUAUUUCUGGACAGGAAUAGAGGUGAGCUUACAUUACAGAGAAAAACCUGGGAUCCACAGUGGGUGGUAAUUCUGUCAAGAAGAGAGAAAGGAGAUCCACCAAAUCUAUAAGGUCCAACAGAGAGCCAGCUGAGUUAAGGUUUUUCAAAAAGCCCUGGAGAAAAAAAGCAUUAUGUAGUGACAUGGUGUGUGAUUAAGAAGACUGCAGAGGGCUUGGAAGAUGGCUCUGUAGGGAAGAGCACUUGCUGUGCAAACAUGAGGACCUGAGUUUGAAUCUCAGAACCCACAUAGAAAGCCAGUAUGGCCACACUAGCCCUUGUGACCCCAGGGCUGUGAGGGUGGAAACAGGAGGAUUGCCGGGGGUUUCUGGCUGCCAGCAUAGCUCCAGGUUCAGGGAAAGACCUUGUCUCAAGGAAAUAAGGCAGGGUAAUAGAGCAGGGAACCGACAUUCUCCCAACAUUGGCCUCUGUGCAUACCUGCAUAGGUGUGUGCGUAUGCACACACUACAUACACUGCAUACAUGAACACAGUCUACACACUGCACACACACAUAGUCCAUACACUGCACACAACCACACAUCACACAUGCACAUGACACAUUAAAAAAACUAAAAAAAAAGGUUCUAAUUUUUUUAUAAAGUUAUAUUUUCAUCAAUACUGUUUCCUUUGUUGGCAUGUGCCUUCACUCUAUUUAUGGGUAAAGGUUUGCAUCUAAUUAUCCAACCUAACUUUGAUCAUCAUUGUUUUGGCCAAAGCCUCUACUGUUCUGUCUUAGUAAUUUCUUACAUUCUUGCCCACUUGAUUUCAUUAAUGUUUACUUAACAAAGACUAAGCAUUUUUUCCUGUAAAGUAGACUCAUCAUUCUUCAGAUUUUCAACUGUUAGUACUUUUGAUUUUUUAAAGGUGAGAAAAUUGACCUUCUAGAACUGGAUAAUUACCUGAAAAAUAUAGGGAUAAAACUCCCAGAAAACAAGAUGAUAAAACUGCUGGGCAAACUGCCAACUGACGGUGAGCAUUAGAAGAUACCACAGCAGCCUUGGAGAAGUAGUAAGCAUAUGAAUUUGUGUGAUGAAUAACGAUGUCCCAUGCCAUCCAUCACCAACAUGUCACCAAGCAUUUGUUUUCAUUCCUGAGUUUUAUUAUUGGAAUGAAAAUACUAGUUGUUAGAAUAUAGCAUUUUAAAAGUUUCUGCUUCUUAAGUUACAGACAUUUAUUCCACUUCUGAGUAACGGCAUUAUCUCCUGAGACUUGACAUUUCUAUCUUGCAGCUAAUAGAAAACUGUACAAGAAAAGGUUGCUAAAAGAACUGCAGAAUAUUGAAGGUAAGGCAUGUGAUAGUUUCUUUCUCGGCAGGUGACACUGAGGUCCUUGAACCAUGCUAUUGUUUUCAGACACUCUCCCUACUUUGCAAUUUUCAGAUUAUUCAUCUUGCCAUCUCUACUGUUGAAUUCUUUAGACAGGCAAUGGGCACCAAAAUGGUUUCCCUCUAAAAGAUCUAGAAGCAGCAGUUCCUCUACAAAGACAGAUAGAUGUUAGAAACAUCAGGAAAUAACAGCACUUAGAUCACUCAGCACGUUUCCAACAAUAUUGAUCUUGAAUUUCCAGCAAUAGUAUUCAGAGAAAAAAAGUUAUUUUAAAAAGUUUCCCAUGGUAUUAUAAUAGACAGAAAACGUAAACAGUGGAUAAAGAAAAAUUGUUGCCUGUAUACAACCGAAUACUGGUUGGUCAUUAAAAAAUAAUAUCUCAUUAUUCACAACAACAUGAAUGGAAGUGGAGACCAUUGUAUUAAGUGAAAUGAGCCAUGCACAAAACAGACACCAAGUGAUUUCACUUAUAUAUGCCUAAAAGCAUUGAUCUCAUAGGAGUUUAGAAUGGUGGUUCGGAGAUGGGGAGAGCAGAAGGGGACAUCCAGAUGAGACCAAGAAGCCCUACUGACUCCUCAUUGUAUUUCUCAAAUUCUUCUUUUCUAAGGGAUAAAGAUACCUUCAAAUAAGGUGGAAGAAUUCAUUAAAAUUGCAGAAAUUAAUUUCAAUGAUGAAGACAUCCAGACACUGAUGGACCAUCUGCCAGUUGAUCGUAGUGGGAAGGCUAAUUUCCGUGUGUUGAUGAAAGAAAUUAAGAAGAUUACAGGUGAGGAGCUGUUAAAAAUGAAUAUUAUAUUGUAUGGUCCUUACAUUUUAUAUUCAAAUAUGUUUUAG